GCAGCAGCCGCGGGAAUACAGAGGGUGCGAGCGUUAAUCGGAUUUACUGGGCGUAAAGCGUGCGUAGGCGGCUUCUUAAGUCGGAUGUGAAAUCCCUGAGCUUAACUUAGGAAUUGCAUUCGAUACUGGGAAGCUAGAGUAUGGGAGAGGAUGGUAGAAUUCCAGGUGUAGCGGUGAAAUGCGUAGAGAUCUGGAGGAAUACCGAUGGCGAAGGCAGCCAUCUGGCCUAAUACUGACGCUGAGGUACGAAAGCAUGGGGAGCAAACAGGAUUAGAUACCCCCGUAGUCCCUGUCUCUUAUAA
rnacentral:rRNA from 1 species